CCGCCCGGCGUCGAAGCACGUCUCCCCGUCUAUGUGGAGAGAGGUGUGAGAGGGAACCCGGUGAGAAUCCGGGACUGUCCCGCAGCGGUAUGCAGGAACGACCGCCGUCACCAUGCACUGGACUUCGCGUCUGGGAAGCGACGGCCACUAGGACCGGUGUCGAUCACCGGGCGCCUGCGAGUCCGAAGACCUGCCGACUGCGUCGGGCACGC
rfam:Rhodococcus sp. MTM3W5.2, complete genome.